GCGAAGGAGACACACCUGUUCUCAUCCCGAACACAGAAGUAAAGACCUUCAGCGCAGAAAAUACUACAUGGGAAGCUGUGUGGGAAGAUAUGUCAUUGCCAGUU
rnacentral:rRNA from 1 species